AGAGGUGACUCCUCUGAGCCUGCACUGGUACUCAAUAAACCUGGCUAUUCCACAUCUCCAAGUGCCACUUGUCUUUCCACUGGCACUAUUUCUGCAACAUUUUCUGGUGCAUUGGCCAGGAAGCUAACAACCAAGCUGGCCCCUUUGCCACUGUUGUUGGGGAACUGGGGAAGGUCAUGGUUGCAGGCAUGGUGACAGGUGGAUAGUGCAUGCCAGCUGUUUUGCCGGAUCCUAACUCUCACUGCCAUGAACGGACUCAGGGAGAGUGGAAACAGGUUCCAGGAUAGGAGGUCAGACUGGUCCCUCAGAACAAUAGUCUGGAAAAACAACCAUGAGCAAGGACACCCAUCAUGGACACAGGAUGACAGAUCCUCUUUGUCAGCAUGGAUUUGUCUCUUCCACACCUCCCACUCUGCCUCCAUUUCAAUGUCUUGUCAUCACACUCAUGAUGAAAUCAUAGAGGUAAGGGGAAAAACAUGUUUUUCCUUGUUUCUCAUUGGGAUGGAGGAAGACAGGUGCAGAUCCCAGGACAGGCGCCUCCCCAGAGGUGCUCCAUGGAACUGAUAUUAAGCAGUAAAAAGAAGGAGAAGCCAGGCUGCUCCCAUCACGGUGACACUGAGGGUGAGCUUUUGGCUCUAUCACUCCCUUAUGAAUACCUACUUUAUGAUUCUAACUGUGCCCUUUUCUGGAACACUAGUCUGGCACAUGCUCUGCAGUUUGUACACAAGCUGAGAGAAAGAGUAGUCGUGAGUGUAUUCUGCGUGUAUUUCAUGAAUGAAAUCUUCCUGAGAGCAGAGCCUACAGACAUGCUCCUGAACCGUCAUCGCCUCAGCUGUUUAUAUACAGGGUUUUGAAUGCCUGUUAGGCAGACCCUGCCAUGUCAUUCUCUCUUACUUGCCUUUUCCUACUCCUCCAGCAUUUAUACUCUGCAUUCAGGAUGGAUUAGAUGGAAUGUAUUCUAUCCAUGAAGCCAAGUGUCUAUAGAGAUGGGGACCUAGUAGUGGGUUGGUUUUCCCCUCUUUAUGCCACAGAUCAGGAACCAGACAUAUUCUAUCUCUCUUUUAUGCUUAGGCCAAAGCAAAUGGCAUUUGACAUGAAAGUUUUGGUUUGCAUGUUCUUAUGUGUGUUUCAUCCUCUAAAAUUAUCUAAGGUGGGCUUAGAAAUGGCAAAAUGUAGGCCAAUAGGAUUCUGAAUGUCCUAUUCCUUGCCUCUCUACAACCUUAAUUUUUUUUCUCCUCACUCUUUUCAAGAUAGAUGAGUGAUUUAUAUAUUUUUUGUCCACUCCAUUAACCACAUAUUCACAAUCAUUCCCUGGAGUUCUUAGAAUUACUGAUACUGCCAAAACCCAGACCCUCCAAAGCCAGGACCCUUAUACUGAGGCACAUAAUCCCUUGAAGACAUUGAUCUCCCUGGCUCUAAGGUCACUCUUAGGAGAAAAUGGCUCAGCCUGGAUGCCCACAGCUGACAAAGAUGUUGAAAUAUGCACCCCUGGAUAUGUGGUUGCCUGGAUAUCUGGACUUCCAAGGGUGCCCUGGCUCACCAUCCUAAGAAAAUAAAUCAAACUAAAUACCAUUAAUUUAAUUCUAUCAGGAAUGUGGGAGUCAGCCCAUUAUCCUGGAAGUCAAGAGAAGAAAGGUAAUAUUUCAGUGGUGGUUAAAGUUUUACUUUUUGUCAACAUUAUCAACUUAUCAAGGAAAAAAAUGAGAACACUACCUGAAAAUCAGGCUGUGUGCAUGCACAUCUCUGGGUGAGUUACAGUAUGGAUCAUUCAGGGGUCCCUCAAACAGUCUGUGUUGAAAGUUUUGCUAGUGGUCCUGCAAACUUUACCAACACGCUUAUGUCCUCGGAAAGGGAGGAGACAUCUAGAAGCUAUGUAUUUUGUUUUCAUGAGAUGUUCAUAUCCAUACUAAUUCCCGUUGGGUGUUUUUUUAAACACCAGUCAUGUAAGCAGGUGCCCUUGCACUGGAGGGCUGCUGACUUUUGGAGUUAGAACUUCAGUCUUAUUUUCUCUCAUCUGUGUGAAGACCUCUGCCAGCUCAAUCUUUUCCCCUACAGCUGUCUCAUUUCAUGUUACCUUACCUCUUUCUUCUCUGCUUCUACAACUCUAAUCAAAUAUGAAAUGGAAUGUUUCAUGGAAAUUAUUUCAUGGGUGUACAUUCUUUGGUUGGGUGGAAGCUACUGAUUAUUUGCUUCCUACCAGGGUUAGGGUAGCAGGGAGAAAACUAUCAAGAGAAGAUGGAAACUCUCUCAUCUCAGGCCCCAAGUGGCAUCUAAUAUAUAAGUUCUUUUUGCAUGUGUGUGUGUUUGUGUGUGUGUGUGUGAGAUUCUUCCCCCUUAAAAUGAUCUAAAGUGUGUGCAGAAAUGGGGAAAUGUGAACCAAUAGAAUUCUGAAUGUUCCUUUUCUCUCUACUUCCUUAAAGUUUUUUCUUCUCACCCUUGUUCAGAUACAGGAGUCAAUUAAACUUUUGUGUCUAAUAUUUUAUUCCAAUAUCUAUGAUCAGUCCUUGGAGUUCUUAGAAUUAGCGAGAUUUCUGAACCCCAGCCCCUCCUGCUGUCAAGACCCUUUCACUGAGGCACACAAUCCCUUUGAGACACUGACCCCUCUGGCCUGAAACCAAACUUAGGAGACCAUGGCUCAACCUGGAUGCCCACUGCUGACAAAGACAUUGUUGAAAUGUGCUCCUCUGGUCCCUCUGUAAUCUAGUCCCUCCAAGCUUUUUUCAGGUGGCCAAUACCAGUCUUCUUCCAUGUAGCCAGCCCCAGAUCUCUCUUGAGUCUGAUCUCUAAGGCCAGAGUUUUAGUUCCUGACACCUGCUGGCACCUGCAUACAGUUGCCAUAGUACUAACAGUUUGUGGAGUAUUCAGUUUUAACUGCUUCACACAGAUGGUUUAGAGUUGCCCCUCCUAGACAGUUUGGGGGGUGGGGGGAUGUACUUGGGUUAUGGGAUGGAAAUCCUGUGAAAUUGGAUUGUUAUGAUCAUUAUACAACUAAAGAUAUGAUAAAUUCAUUUGAGUAAUAAAAAAAUAAAGUAUAGAAUCUCAAAAAAAGAAAAAUAGAGUUCCUCCUCCUCCACUGCUGAUCUCCCUGCUGGUGGGGGAACUUCCCAGGGUGCAGAAGCUUUUCCUCCUUCCAGCUCCCUCCUAGGGUCCAGUCUCAUUUUUUUAAUCUUCUAUCUUUUUAUUCUUUUUUCUUUUGUCCUAUACAGUUUCAUGAAGUGUUUCUUGCUCUAGCAUAAUCCUGGAGUCUUUUUUUAUCAGAUUUUCUGUGCAAAUAGUUCCAUGUUUAGAUGCAUUCUCAGUGUAUAUGUGGGAGUAGGUAAGUCUCAUCCUACUACUCUGCCAUCCUCCUGAAUCCCCCUAAAAUAUUUUUUAAUUUAAAAAUGACCUUAAAAAUUGGAGUUUUGUUUCUGAAUGCAGAAGGUAACCAAUAUUAAAUAACUCUAAUGUAUUUUCCUCAUGCUUUUCAAUCCUAAUUUUCCACCUUGAAAUGGCAAUAAGCACAAUAUUUAUCAAAUAUUGUGCUUAUAUAUAAACAGAGUAUUCUUUCUAGAACCUCUGUAUUUCUACUCAAUUUAUUGUGUUUUUUCUUCCAAUAAUGAACUUUUGAGACUGUUUCAGUAUAUUAUAUUUUUCCAUAUCCUCUGUCAUGUUCUCCCCUCCCAAGAAAAGUUACUUCUCUUUGAGAAAAUCCCUUGGAAAUAUGAGAAUCAACAUCUAUACUUUCUGAAAAGUAUAUUCAGGUUAUAAUUGGGUUACACUGAAUCGGUCAUAAACUUUGGUUGAAAAUAAGUUCAUUAUAAUAUUUUACUGCUGAUAAAAACAGUAUUUCUCUAUUUAACCUGGCAUUUUAUUUCCUCUUAGUGCGUCAUCAUAUUUUGUUUCAUUUUUUCUAUGUUUUAGAAUCCAUUGAUUUGUCAUUAUUUUCAUUAUUACCUUACUUUCCAAAUGUUCCAAGUUGAUUUUCCUCCUCUCUUUUAUAUUUUUUGAGGAAGGACCUCAGAUUAUGGAUUUCAGAACUUCUCCUCUAAUAUAAUCACAGACUGCAAUAAGUUUCCCUCUUUGCAUUUUUUUAGAAUCUGCUUUUGAGAAAUUAUGACAUACUGUAAACUCAUAUUCAUUACUUUUUAUCUAUUUUUUAAAAUUUCCAUUGAGCAUUUCUGUUUUUCACUUUUGACUUUUAUAAGUGGGUUGAAUAAUUUCCAAUUGUUUGGAUAUUUUCUCGUUAUCUUUUUUAUUGUUUUAAACUGUUCCCAGGAGUUCCUGUUGUGGCUCAGGGGGUUAUGAACCCAACUAUUAUCCACGAGGAUGCAGGUUUGAUCUCUGGCCUCACUCAGUGGGUUGGGGAUCUGGCGCUGUCAUGAGCUGUGGUGUAUGUCACAGACGUGACUCGGAUCUGGCAUUGCUGUGGCUGUGGCUGUUUUGUAGGCUGGCAGCUGCAGCUCCAAUUUCAACUCCUAGUCUGGGAACUUCAAUACGCUGCAGGUGUGGCCCUAUAAAGAAAAAAGAAAAAACCGUCAAAACAAAACAAAAACCACCCCCAAACAAAAAAAACAAAAAAAAAA
rnacentral:lncRNA from 1 species